rnacentral:rRNA from 1 species
UACAUGGGGUGCAAACGUUGCUCGGAAUUACUGGGCGUAAAGCGCACGUAGGCGGAUACUUAAGUCAGGGGUGAAAUCCCGGGGCUCAACCCCGGAACUGCCUUUGAUACUGGGUAUCUCGAGUCCGGAAGAGGUGAGUGGAAUUCCGAGUGUAGAGGUGAAAUUCGUAGAUAUUCGGAGGAACACCAGUGGCGAAGGCGGCUCACUGGUCCGGUACUGACGCUGAGGUGCGAAAGCGUGGGGAGCAAACAGG